GCCGGGAUGCUGAAAUUGGUAUACAGUAUGGAUUUAAAAUCCAUUGGAGCUUAGCUCCGUGUGGGUUCGAGUCCCACUCCCGGCACCA
rnacentral:tRNA from 1 species